UCCCAUUAACCUGCAUGCACAGUGUUUAAGGGAGGUCCUGUUACCUCUCCCAUUUUAUAAAUGCAAAGCGAGGGGUUACAGAGAUGGCUUGCUGGCUAAAGUGCUUGCUGUCCAAGCCUGAGGGCUCAGGUGUGCAUUCUCCGCCUAGGCUCAGUCAAGGCAGCCAGCAUAGAAUCCCAGCACUCAGGAGGUGGAGGUGGGUUCCCUUGAACCAACUGGCUAGUGCCCUCUGGGUUCAAGUGAAAGAUCCAGUGUUGAUACAUAAGGUGGAGGGAGAAGUGAGUGGGGAAGGCAUCCUCUGGUUGCCAUGCAUACCUGCAGGGGUGGCACCACACAUACCUGCAGGGGUGAGCUCCACACAUACCUGCAGGGGUGAGCUCCACACAUACCUGCAGGGGUGAGCUCCACACAUACCUGCAGGGGUGGCACCACACAUACCUACCUGCAGGGGUGAGCUCCACACACACCUGCAGGGGUGAGCUCCACACAUACCUGCAGGGGUGAGCUACACACACACCUGCAGGGGUUAGCACCACACAUACCUGCAAGAAUGGGCACACAAGGGCUCCCUCCAUACACACAUGAAAAGAAAAUAAAUGCAAAACAAAAUUUGAAACAAAUGAGACAGACAAUCCCAGCACUCACAGGCUGUGCCAGGUGUUUUUGAGACCAGCCUGAUAUACAUAUAAGGGAAGCACUGUUUAAAAAAAAAGAAAAAAAA
rnacentral:lncRNA from 1 species